UACGUAGGUGGCAAGCGUUGUCCGGAUUUACUGGGCGUAAAGAGCGCGUAGGCGGAAACGCCAGUCCGGCUUGAAAGCCCCCGGCUCAACCGGGGAGAGUGGCUGGAAACUGCGUUUCUUGAGGGCGAGAGAGGAGGGUGGAAUUCCUGGUGUAGCGGUGAAAUGCGUAGAGAUCAGGAGGAACACCCGUGGCGAAGGCGGCCCUCUGGCUCGACCCUGACGCUGAGGCGCGAAAGCGUGGGGAGCGAACGGG
rnacentral:rRNA from 1 species